rnacentral:rRNA from 1 species
UUGCGCAAUGGGGGAAACCCUGAUGCAGCAACGCCGCGUGAGUGAUGAAGGCCUUCGGGUUGUAAAGCUCUGUCAGUGGGGACGAAAUGCAGGGGUGCUAAUAACAUCGUCGCUGGUCGGUACGUUCCAAGAAAGCACGGGCUAACUACGUGCCAGCAGCCGCGGUAAUAUGCUGGGCGCGAACGUUGCUCGGGCUGAUUUGUCGUAAAGCGGGGGUAGGCGGUUUGGUAAGUGUGAUGUGAAAGCCCCGGGCUCAACCUGGGGGGUGCAUUUGAAACUGGCGGUCUAGAGUGCGGGAGAGGGGAGUGGAAUUCCUAGUGUAGCGGUGAAAUGCGUAGAGAUUAGGAGGAACACCGGUGGCGAAGGCGGCUAUCUGGACUGUAACUGACGCUGAGGCGCGAAAGCGUGGGGAGCAAACAG